UUCGCUGCGGCUGAAGCGGCUUAGGACAUUAAAUAUAGCCCCCACACACACACCAGCACCACCAGCACACACUAAGCGGGAUUAUGAGGGCAUGUGUUGAUGCGGGCAUACACGAGAGCUGUGCGUUUUCUCUGUAAGGCGACUGCUGGUGUUGCCGCCGCUGCUGCUGCUGCCACUUGGAGGGCAGCCCGCGUCAUGUGCACCACCAUUGUGGUCAUCAGCACCCUCGUGUACCUGGUGCGCAGGAGGUUCUUCAACAAAGUGGGGCCACUCCAUGAAGAAUGCAAUUUAAGGUCCAAAGGAGCAGCAAAUGGAAUUGGUGUUCAAAAUGGAACCCCGCCUUAGCUGUGCAUCGACAACAUCCCCAGCAGCUGCCUACGGGAGAGGUCACGUCUGCUAGUCGCUCGACUGACACGAGGGGUGAUGAAGUCGUGAUCAGCCGUGCGUGCUGCAGCCGCAAGUGGCGUGGACUUCGUGAACGUGAUUGAGCUCAACACAACUCGCACGCAUACUUUAUUUCACAAAUGGAGUGUCAGUAUUGUGCUUUUAACCAAAUGGUAACGAAAGUAUACAUAUACACAAACGCAAAUAAUUUUAAAUAUAAAUGUUCAUGUAUUUUACAUUAUCAUGAUGUAUACACAAACUGACAUUUCGUAGUAUUGCAUGAAUACUCUUGAUUAGUUAGAUUUUGCAUGACUAUAACUUUACGAAAUUAUACUGUAAUAAUGUUAGAAACAGCCUUAAUUGGGUCACACUGCAGUCUCCCGUGACGCCAAUCCCCUGAUGAUUGCCUGUUACAUUGCAUGCACUCUGACCACAUUUCAUACCCAAACCGACAUGCAGAUGCUGGUGUCUCUCUAACCCCCGUGGGCUCCCAUCUUUAGUUUUUUACCCCUGGGAUUUACCGUAAUAGCCUUGAUGAACACCUCCUUCAGUCUCACCCAUUCAUUAUGCUAAUAUGCUACUUAAUAGAAUUAACUUUUAAACGAUUAAAUUCUUAUUUUAAUGAUUAAUUUGGUCACCUCCGAUUAGCACGGUUGGGUUACGUACGGUGCAAAAGAAGUUCAAUAGACGUACGCGCGUGUGUCGUACAACACUUACCGUCCCUGUUUAUUGUGUUGCUAUUAUAAUUUUAACUUUGAAAUGUGUAGAUGGUUAUCUAUAUUCACUGCCAUCUGGACAUGAAAGCCUGACGUAAACACAGGGGGUGGGAGGCUCCGUGUUCCUGAUCAUAUUUCACGGCUCGUCGGAUCACCGAGGGAAAGUCCUUGACCCUGAAAUUGUCCCGAAGGAAGUGGUUAAUGAAUGACAGAAAACGAGACCAGGCCAAAGGGGCCAUCCCUGUCUCAGGCAAGCCAGCCACCUCCUCGCCAUCUCAGGAGCAGCCGACGGGGUUGACUUGGCAGAGGGUGGGAGAUGGGGGAAAAAUGAUAUGGCCUACCUUUGGUAAUCCUGCAUGGAAGAGUAGGCCAAACACCCUGGAGAGGGGCUGUCUAGAGCCCACUCUAGGGGGAGACCCUUCCGCCAGCAGAGACACGAGAGCGAAAUUUCAGAAUUGCACCUUUAACGUGCAGUUGUCCACGUGCUUUCAGGAAGGGAAUUAAAGGAAGCAGUCACUAGAACUUGUAACUUGGUUUUUCAAUACAGUACUGGGCUGUCUAAUCUCUCCUGUCAGAAUUACAAAUAUAACACCGGUCAACACACUUUCUCUGGCAUAAGGUAUUCCAACGGUUUUAAGGUAAUUUUGGGGUGCUGAUUCCAAAUCUGGCAUCAGUUUUGUCUAUCAUAUCAGGUUUUUGAGAUAUCAAAUAUUGCAUUUUCAAUCAAAACUGCAGAAGAAAAAUAUUAAAUAAAUGUGGAUAUUUACAUAAAAUGAUAUUAUAAACACACAGUUAAUUUCGGGUAAAAUCAAUGAAAAUGGGGUAUGAUAGAGCAAAUCUGAGAUCAGAUUUGGAAUCAGCACACUGAAAUUAGUCUAAAACAGCUGCAAAAGUCCAGGCCAGAAUUUUUUUUUUGUUGACCAGUGUAAUUUUAUACAUGUGCAUCGCGUUUAAAAGCGAUUUCACUGUAUCAACAUCAAAACUUAUCCACGUCACCAUCAAACCACCAACGACAACCGUUGCAUCAAAUGCCGGCGGCGAAGACGAGAGCAGCGUGUGUCAGUCACAAGGACACCGACUUGGCGGGCGUUAGCGCGGGUGAAGCGACGGGGGUCUUGAAAUGUGCCGCCGUGAAUCACGCGAGGCUGAAUAAAAAGGCCCUCGCCGACAGGACGUGCAAGGGAGGGCAUUUAUAGGCUGGCUUGUUAACCGCGCUGUUUCUUUUUACUGCACGUUGUUACUAACUGGAUUUUGGAAAUUGUUAUAUCGGUAACCCAGCAAUGCAUACUUUUCGUAAUAAAGGGGUUUUUUUUGGGGGGGGGAGGUUAGAUUGCGUGAAUAUAAAUGUGUCGUUAAACCUGCCACCACCCGACACAGCCAAUUAGUAAGGUAUGUCACGUCAGAAAAACGCGCCCAAUUAGUGACUACUUCAGCCCACCACCGGUGUGUUGGCGAGUAAAUCCACAACAUUUACAAUUUGAUGAUUACAUCCAGCACCACUGGGCGAUUUUUCGAGACAAUUCAUCCGAAUCGGCAGGUUUUGUUUACGUGACAAACCUUACUCAUUGGCUGUGUCGGAUGGUUGCGGGUUAACGACGCAUUUAUAUUUACACAAUUUAACCCCCCCAAAAAAGACAUGAAUUAUGAAUAAUAUUGGUCGCGAAAGCCUACGGUGUCAAAAUGCAUAUUUUGUGAGGAAAAACUUCAGCCUGUACUGACACUGUUUUAUCUAUGUUGCUGUAAUUUUGUCCGUGUACAUGUACAGCCAGUUCUGUCAAUCCACUGCUGGAUGAGAGCCUCCCCACACCGUGCAGGCUGUGAGGGUUAUGUGACCAUACUUCACCACGCUGGUCAGUGCGGGUUGGUGAAGGUGGAAUGUGAGUGCAGAACCACAAUGGAUGUGGCUCCACUGCCCUCUGCUACUGCACGUGUUUAUCAUACAAUAGUGGUCACCCAAACAAUAUCCAGGCUCACACCUGCUUAGAUUCAGAGUUUUGAUGGGAUUGGGCACAUUCUUGUUUUUUGUUCAUAGGCUAUUUGUAAUUUUGAUUUGAUUACAUUUCUACCGCUUGCGAUUUUGACAACAGUAUGUAUUUAGUCUGGUACUUUUAUCCUGUAAGCAGUUUGGUUUCCAUUACAAUGUUUCUUAUCAUUCCAUUGCUCUUCGUGAUGUUUACAUGUUGUAUUUAAUGUUCAAGGUCAAAAAAAUAGUCAGACUAAGAAUACAUAUUUACGAAGUCACAUGUGAAAUAUCGCAUGUCCCAAUGUGAUAUUUGUGUUUUUGUCAAGGCACAAUACCAGGGACCAUCCCUUUUCCAUUUCCAAAAUGAAAAUUUAAAAGGAAUAAUUGACCAAUACUUUAUAAUACCUUAUGCCUUUGUUCUGAACACAGAAAAUAUGUUUGUGCAACAGGCAUAAGGGCCCGCCCAUUUCCUUUAAGCAAACAAAAUAAAAUUGAGUAGUCUCCAGUGAAUCUGAUGGAAAAACACAUGUUCAUAGAACUCCAGUUGCUGGGUGCGCCUAUUUUGUCACUUGUAAGAGCCUUUACAGGCAAAAAUAAUGUUUUAAUCUGUUAAUCUUGAUAUUGUUUUAAUGGGUUUUUUUUUUCCCUCCGACGAUGUUUUAUUGUCUCUCCACUGAAAAACAAACGAUUGCAUGGUCAAGAUGAAAAAAUAGCUCAGAAAAAACGAGACUACGUGUAAAUACCCCCACAAUGUUAAUGUUUUAACUGACGAUACAUGGAACAAUUUUCGAGGGAAAACUUUACUGUUUAGUUAUUUUAGCUGAAAACACUCACCAA